rnacentral:lncRNA from 1 species
GUAUGUGAUGCGACUCAUGGUAGCUUAGCUUUAAAGGCGUAUCAACAAAAUUUAUACCUUAAAUACUAUUACUAAAGUAGCCAAGCUACUAUAGAAUAGUGGUUCUAGGAUCGUUCACUGGGAAGGGUUUUCGCAAACACUAGUGAUAUUCAAAUUAGGAAAAUAGGUGAUUUUCUUAUGGAUGUUAGCUUUAAAAGAAGAUGUAAAU